CUGAAAUGUGGCAAAAGGUCGCAAAGUUCAAGGGGGCCGAAUACUUUCGCAAGGCACUGUAUAUAUAUAUUUAUACACACAGUACCAGUCAAAAGUUUGGACACCUACUCAUUCAAGGGUUUUUCUUUAUUAAAAAAAAUUAUUUUCCACAUUGUAUAAUAAUAGUGAAGACAUCAAAACUAUAGAAUCAUGUAGUAACAAAAAAAGUGUUAAACAAAUCAAAAUGUAUUUUUUAUUUGAGAUUCUUCAAAGUAGCCACCCUUUUCCUUCGAUGACAGCUUUGCACACGCUUGACAUUCUCUCAACCAGCUUCAUGAGGUAGUCACCUAGAAUACAUUUAAAUUAACAGGUGUGCCUUCUUAAAAGUACAUUUGUGGAAUUUCUAUCCUUGCAUUUGAGCCAAUCAGUUGUGUUGUGACAAGUUAGGGGGGUAUACAGAACAUAGCCCUAUUUGGUAAAACACCAAGUCCAUAUUAUGGCAAGAACAGCUCAAAUAAGCAAAGAGAAACGACAGUCCAUCAUUACUUUAAGACAUGAAGGUCAGUCAAUAUGUAAAAUGUAAAGAACUUUAAGUUUCAUCAAGUGCAGUCGCAAAAACCAUCAAGCGCUAUGAUGAAACUGGCUCUCAUGAGGACCGCCACAGGAAUUGUCCUUUCAACAGGACAAUGACCCAACAGGUAGUGUAUGUGCUAUUUUACCAAGAAGGAGAGUGAUGGGGUGCUGCAUCAGAUGACCUGGCUUCCACAAUCCCCCUACCUCAACCCAAAUUGAGAUGGUUUGGGAUGAGUUGGACCGCAGAGGGAAGGAAAAGCAGCCAACAAGUGCUCAUCUUAUGUGGGAUCUCCUUCAAGACUGUUGGAAAAGCAUUCCAGGUGAAGCUGGUUGAGAGAAUGCCAAGAGUGUGCAAAGCUGUCAUCAAGGCAAAAGGUGGCUAUUUGAAGAAUCACAAAUAUAAAAUGUAGUUUGAUUUGUUUAACACUUUUUUUGGUGAUAAUAACACAUGAUAUGUGUUAUUUCAUAUUUUUGAUGUCUUCACUAUUAUUCUACAAUGUAGAAAAUAGUACAAAUAAAGAAAAAGCCUUGAAUGAGUAGGUGUUCUAAAAUGUUGGACCGGUUGAGAAAGCUUCUGCCAUAAUGCAUUGAAAGUGAAACACUCAUCCACCAAUACACACUGUAAGUCACACUAGUACAAUUAAAAUAAUGUGCUCCAAAAAUGUUGCUCUUUUAAUUUCAAAUUCUGUACAUAUUUUUUUACAUAAAUGGAAUGUUAUAACAUACUGUAUGUCUAAAAAGUUUCUAAAAUAACAUUUCUAGGUAUGUACUGUCGGCCUGUCUCUGAAGUACCGUGGGAGGUAUAACCCAAAUAAAAAAUCGUUUCCUUCACCUCUCAACUAUUACAUGAAUGCCCUACUACACCUCUACCUUCAUUCAAGCAAGCUCAUCCCCAACUAAUAAUCAUCUACAGUAUGUUUGCUGUCAUGGUAUAUUAUAGUAUCAUGAACAGAACAUCAAGUAUAGCUACCUGAUGACAUAUGUGUGUUCUCUAACACAUCUCACAUUCAUAUAUGUUGACUGUUUUAAACACUGCUUCUUCACAAGUCCAUCCAUAUGGCGCUUUUCAACACGGUAGAUUUGGAUAGACAUUGAUCCGAUUGGAUUGAUAUGGGCUCAAAUUGGCAACUGUGGCAUAAGCAGCAAAACCAAAACAUUUACACAAAAUGACCAUAUAACCCCCCUCCUUUACCACUUUACCACUGGCCUGACAUCCAAACUGAAUUCUCUACAGUAAAAACAUAACGAAAUCAGUUUAGGUGCUAGGCUGCCUCCCCACUCGCCCCCCAAAGAAACUCAAACAUCCAAAAUAAAACUAACAAAACUGAAAUGGGGGUCAAAUGUGAUUUAAAACUGAUCGUAGCUACAGUAGAUCAUAUAAGGCUGUUCUGGUAGGCUAGCUAGGGAGGAUCCUCGUGCUACACACAUACCCAUGACAAUAAGGGCAUAUUGUACACAUACAGUAGUAUGCUUCACAAUCGUGAGCCAUUCGACAACAUUUCAAUACACUUACAGUACAGUAGCCAUGGGACAAACCAUGCAGUUAGACCAGACAUUCUAGUUUCAGACCAGAUAUUCUAGUUUCAGACCAGACAUUCUAGUUUCUCCCUCACUGUGCAAUGAGGAGAAACUCCCAUCUGGAUUUAGAUUAAACUUUAUUAGCUACAGUACACGGUGACAAAUGGGGAAACAGUCCAUUUGGGUGGGGGAUUUUUAUUGUCCCAAUUCCAAAGUGCUUUAUGCCUCGCUGUACUUCUUAAAAAAUAAAUUGUUAGCAGCAUGUUUUAGAGGCAUGAUGAUGGCACUUUUGGAGAAACCACAGUUAAUAUGGUGUAACUGACCCAGUAGCCAUGGUAACACUACCUUUAGUAUAUCCAUCCCAUAAUACCCAGAUCCCCUAUUAAUGCUCUUUGUUAAUUUGUCUGACUGGUCGUUAUAAGUUUGAAUUGGGAAACCAAUAUAAAUACUAUUGAUCUUAUUCCUUGAUAUGUCAUAAUAAUAUACUAUAAUCUAAAAUCCCUAAACUGUGGAGAUGAAAAACCUCCACAAUGAUUGUGAAAAGCAUAGCCAAUAAAGCCUUUUGUCUUAUUCAUUGAAUUUGUCUAUCAGUUUCUUACUCUGCCCUUAUUCGCAACCCAAUGGUGAAGAUGGAGGUCUAGUAUACUUGUGUACUCGUUAGCAGCACAUCCUGGGAAAGCUCUCAAAACAUUAAAGAGAACAACAGCAAGGCCUUGUUUAAAUAUUACAACACAGGGUUGCUGGAAGCUGAAAUGUAUUAGAUAGGAAAUGUGUAAAACCUUCAAACACAUUGACAAAGUUUCAGGGGAUCCAACAUUCUAAUGAUAACUUUUUUGAAGACAUCAGUCUUCCCCUUAUUCUGAUUGGCUUUGGCAUGGAGCUCCACCAAUCGUCUACUUCCUGCCCCGCCCUCUCACCUCUACUGUGAUAGAUUGAUUGGUAGAUGAUUAUGAUUGGGUAAAAGGUGUGCUAGCUCAGGCAGCUAUUUGAAACAGCACUGAAAUGGACAAACAUGAAAAGAAGACAUAGUUAUUCAUGUCAUUCUCUUUGCAUUAAGGCCCGACUUAGUUUCACUACAACUCACACAUACAUACACAGAUAUGCAAUUACACCAUUAUGUCAAAACCUGCACACUUAAAAUAAAAUAAUUUGCAUAAUAAUAACUGCUAAGUCUCAUGAUGAUAAAUAAAGAUUAAAGAUCAAAGUGAGUGAGUGAGAGAAGAGGAUGGGUGUGUGAACCCUGUAGAAGGCUAGAGUAUAUACACCACAUAAUGUCAACGGGCCCCUGAGGGAGGGGGAUAUCUGAUCUGGGGUCAGCAUAUUGUAGUUUGGAUCCCAACUGAAAUGCUCCUCUUUACAAUUGCCAAACUGAAGAUGUACAGUAAAACACAGUGAAACACAGUAAUUCAGUUGGGAUUCAGGCUAAGCACAGAGGGCCUCAUGUCCCAGUCAGACAGCUAUUGCUGCUACAAAAACUAAGAUUAACGUUCUCACUCCAGAGAAGUGCCUGCUGGGAGUUGUAGUUGCCACUAGCCGAGCCACACGCUUCUGGUAGCACAGUCCAGUUCACGUCUUGUUGCUACCACAGAGGCAUUGAAGGGUUGUGAGUUAGAUAGCUAGUCAGGGGAAAGGAGAGCGUGAGAAACAGAGCGGGACAGCAUAUAGCAGGGCACUUCUAAUUUCAGUGUGGCUAGCAGCUAGCAGCAUGUCCCAGUGGAGUAAAGGUUAGAGUUAAGCAGAGUUUCACAUUCAGCUGAGUCUGGCUCUCUGCUGGGUCUCUCUCCGUCUGUCGUCAUCCAGUCAACAACACACAGGGGGAAGGGCUAGGGAGGGAGGAUUUAGUAUAGACUGAUACCUGACCUCGCGCCCUCUGUCCCCCACCCACCAUUCACACUGUUCUGUUGUCCUGACUCUGCCUUGGUAGGCCAGGAUCCGAAGGUGAAGGCACUGGUAGACAGAGUUGGUGAGGAUGGGGAAAGAGUGGGAGAGGGGGAUGAGGACUGACUUCCCCCUCUCCCCUCAGCUUGCUCCCCGAAAUGUCCAGGUGUACAAUCACUCAGACCAAACAGAUGGGAGGAGACCUGAAUCUGCUGUCCAAUAACACAGGAGGAGGGAAUUCCAAGUCACAGUAGCCCUGGAGCUCAGCCAAUCACAGCAGCUCAAUCACUGAGGCACGGCCAAUGGGAUGGAAUGCAAAAUGUCUGUGGGUGGCAUAUACAGCCGUUCCAUUGAUGCAGCAGAGAGUGAGAGGGCGUGUUGAGAGCAACAGAUUUUCCUGAUUGGAUAGUUGUGCAAAAGAGGUGUUGUGUCUUCCCUCAACAUCAGGCUGUCGGAUAUGUAUGUAUGUAUGUAUGUAUGUAUGUAUGUAUGUAUGUAUGUAUGUAUGUAUGUAUGUAUGUAUGUCUGUCUGUCUGUCUGUCUGUCUGUCUGUCUGUCUGUCUGUCUGUCUGUCUGUCUGUCUGUCUGUCUGUCUGUCUGUCUGUCUGUCUGUCUGUCUGUCUGUCUGUCUGUCUGUCUGUCUGUCUGUCUGUCUGUCUGUCUGUCUGUCUGUCUGUCUGUCUUUGAGGACAAAGCAGAGGUUGGUUGUAUUUGUGAGUGUGUAUUUGUGAGUUUGUGUCUGUCUGGUCUUGUCUUGGAGCAGAUUGUGUGUGUGUGUGAAGAUAAAGAGAUAGAUCAGCAUUAAAUGUAGUUUCCCUGAAAAUGGCUUUUAAUGAGAUUUGGCACUCUGCGGUACUUGACUGGUUUGAGUGGAGGUGGUGGGGCUAGAGGGGUAGGGUCAGGGGUCAGUUCUGUACUGGCCACAGAGUCACAGGGAAGGGGAUGGGAUUCACAUUGAGGACUGUUGUUAUUGGAACAGAUCAGUCUUCUUAUCGAGGAAGUAAGAAACCUGCAGCGAGGAAAAACAACAGAAAUCUGAAUAACCAGAGGGCUAACACGUGAUGCUGAAACAGAACAAUA
ensembl:lncRNA